GAGAGUGACUAUACUGUUGUUAUUAUUAUUAUCAUCAUCGCGGAACUCUCUCGCGCGAUCGUCGCCCAAAUCAUCAGCUCUCGUCCGACGUCGUCGUCGAGUGUGUCAUAAACAUUAUUAUUGUUUGUUAUACACCGCGAUUCGAAUGGCAUCGUGCCCAGACGACUGAAUUAUAUUACACGUAAAUGUAUUUCGUACAACGAUAUUAUUAUCGAGCUGUGCACAUUGCGACCGUCGUCGUCAGGGUUCAGUCGUCGCGUGUACGAUCGGCGGUGCAGUUCCUAAUAGAUAAAUAAUAUUAAACUCGUCGUGCGCGGUUGUCGGAUUUCUUCGCCCGUUUUUCCAGACGCACACUCACAUAACACAUUAAUAAUAUCAUGUGUGUACCGAUUUGAUUUUUGGCUGCGAUUUUUCUAUUUUCAAGCAUGUCCGAAAAUGUUUGCUCGUCCACUGUUGAAAUCGUCAAAAACAAUGGAUAUGCUGUUGAAGUACACAAUGUGGUCACGGAGGACGGUUACAUCCUGGAGUUGCAUCGCAUCUCGGAAAACAAGAGCGGACAUAAACCCACCAGGAACCAUCCGGUGUUCGUACACCACGGCAUUCUGGGGAGUUCAGCCGAUUGGGUACUUGGCGGAGCUGAUAUAUCGUUACCGAUGCAACUAUCCGAUGCCGGGUACGACGUGUGGUUGGCCAACUGCCGGGGUAAUACCUACAGUAGAAAGCACUCGACGAUGACUUCCAAGCAAAGAGAUUUUUGGAAUUUUAGCUUACACGAAGUCGGGACGUUCGAUUUGCCAGCUUCGUUCGAAUACAUUCUCAUGAAGACCAAUGCCCCGCAACUCCACUACGUAGGCUAUUCAAUGGGCACCUCCGUGUUUUUCAUAAUGGCUUCUGAAAGACCCGAAUACCAUCACAAGAUUAGGUCUCAAAUCAGUCUGGCACCGGUAGCCUACUUGUUCAACACAAGAUCGUCUGUACGACAUAUCGCUCCGUACGCGGAGAAGAUGAACAUUAUGUAUCAAUGGGUUUCGAAUGGAAUGUUUUUACCACAAUCAAGGAUGCAAUCAUUUUUGGUAACCAACACGUAUGGAGAAAAAAUUGCACGGACUUUGUUUUGCCAAAAAUGCAUAUCUUAUGCAGUGUCUUCCGUGUGUGGUAGUGAAACGUAUAUUUUCGACAAUAAAUUAAUACCACUCGUCAUUGAACACUUUCCGGCGGGAACGUCGUCCAAACUAACCACGCAUUUCUCACAGCUUAUAUUGAAAGACAGUUUUAGUCGGUACGAUUACGGUCCAAUCAUGAAUGUACAACAUUACAAUUCUACCGAACCUCCAACAUACGACUUGAGAUCCAUACAAGUGCCUAUUGCGUUGAUAUACGGAAAAAACGACGUAUUGACGGACGUGGAGGACGUGAUGAGACUGAAAUCCCAACUUCCGAAACUGAUGGACUUCGUUCCGGUCGACAGCCCUCGUUGCAAUCACGUGGACUUUUUGUGGAGUCUAGACGUGACCAAACAAGUAAACGCGAAGGUGGCGGAAAUACUGCAGAAGACCGACCACGCGGACUGGGAGUACACAGGUCCUCCCUCGGGCUCCUGUACAGAUACCGACGGAACGGGUGGUAACGACAGUCAAACGACCAAAGAACGACAGCCAAACUCGACGGGUGACCAUCACGUAUACGUAAACUUUGCCCCGGGUCCGGAUUGCUCGGCGAUGAACUCAUCGGGUGGAACUCCGGUGCAACGGGACGACGACAAGUCGGCGGAGAUCGUACGAGGUCUGAACCUGCUACAAAAGGUACAGCUAUUAGACAACUUGAUCGUGCUGUUGAAGUCCACCGAAACGAAGUACCACCAACUACGGGACGGUUUGACCAGGGAGUUUUCCGAAUGGACUCACGGCGCCCGAAACGAGGCCGGAAUUGACGCUGUGGCGGCGGCCGGGGCGGAAGAUACCGUGGUCGGGGUAAAGACCGAACAAACCACCACGACGUUGCGCCGCACCGGUAUCGGAAAAGUCAGCGACUUUGUUGAUUAUUGUGGUGGUCUAAACCGCGUGGACGACCGAACGGCGGCAGGACGCGCGCUUUAUACCACGUUCAGUAGUCUCGGAAGAGCGAUCAGGUUCUUGAAGCUGCGUUAUAAAUAAACGGGUGUUUUCAAGGGACCCCUCUCACAAAAAUAUAUAUGUUCCAGUUCAUGUGAUUUUUUAAAAAUUAUAUGUAUUGUAAAAUGUGCACCUUUAAAUGCGUAAAUGCGUUAUACAUAAUAUAGAGGUGAGCUCAUAUAAGCCUUAGCAUUAUCUGUUUGCUAUAUUAUGUACUUACAACCAAAGAUUUUGUUUAUUUAAUAGGUUAUAGGACUAUGCCUAGCCUCAAGUACGACAUAGCGUCUAUUAUAUAUUUAUAUUGUAUACCGGUUAUUAUGAUCUGUAUAUUAAUACUGAUAUCCAUUUGACAUAUAUUCAAAUUCUGGGGUCACCUGGAAUAGUAGGAACAGACAGUCCAAAGAUCAGGGCUUCAGGUGGUUGCGAUAGUUGUGAAGAUUGGAAUAUAGCCGUUUGUAAAAUUGUUUGCGUAAUGUUUUUUCUAUCACUCGUGGGGCUGAGUGAGAAAACAAAUAAUACGCCGUUGACAUCCUCUUAAAAUUAUGUUCAGUAUAGAAUUUAAGAGAUUUUUGAAGGUGAUAUGACAGGUUUUCACCUAAAUGUGAGCUCCUAUUAUAAUAUUAUUUAUGAAUAUCAAAAAUAAUCAUGUUACAUUAUUAUCUUAUAUAGUUAAUAGUUAUAUAUGUAUGUAAUAUGUAUUAAUAAUAAUACUAUACCUAAUUGAUAUUUUAUAGGUAUAUCAUAUUAUAACGCAUUUUUACAAAAAAAAGUGAAAAACAUCAACAAUUUAAAUUAAUCCACCUUGGAUCAGUCACUUGUCUACUCAGUACACACUACAGUCACACAUCACUCACGAUGGAUAUAUUAUAUUGCCUAAAUCCGUUGCCUUAAAAAUGGAUCACUUUCAAGUUUCAACAGCAUAGAUAAUACAAUACACUGGAUAGAGCUAAGAUCACGAAUAAGAUAUUAUGCUUAAACUGCUUAAAGUAUAUCUUAAUUCGUGGUUAGUGAUUACAAUUUAAAAUCUUGAAGCAUAGCAACUUUACUAGGCCAUGUAUAUAAAACAUACAGUGCUAGUGCUUGUGGUAAUAAUAUAUAACCGUAAUUAUUCAACCACUACACAGUAAAUAGGAAUAGAAAUUAUAUAACUAUUGUAAUUACAAAUAUACUUAUACUCCCCAAUCUAAUAUUGUAAUGAAUACAUUAGGAUUUGAUCAGUUAAGUUUUUUAUUUUUGUACUUCCCUAAAAGAUGUGUGUUUAUUUUCCGUUUAUAUUUUUUAUUAUGACACCUAAGUCUUUUUUUUUAUUAAUUGUGUAAUUGUAUAUAAUCUAUUUGUAUUAUAUUUUACAAAAUUAAGUCAAUCGCAUUCAAAAUAAACUGCUGACCUAUCGGUUUAUCUUUGGUACAUACUUUA